AGUAACAACUUAAGACUUUGUUGAAUUGGAACUAACCCCAUAAACAACUGAAAUUUAAUUAAGAUUGAUGAACUUGUUUAAUUUCCUAAUCAAUGAUAUUGAUAAAUGUGUCUCCAAUCUAAUGCAGUGACCAAAAGUGGCAUAUUAGUCUUUCGACUCGAACUUUAUAUAUAAAAUCAGAAAGUUUUAAAGAUAUUUUCAUUUGACCCAAUAGAAAGGUUGACAUUAUUUAUUAUUUGAGAAGUCAAAUCGGAGCAACCCCCAUCUAAUUUUAGCUAUUAAAACGAUUUUAAAUACUUUUAUGUAGCUUUUGAAUAUUUAACUUCUUUUAUAAGAAAUGAAAAUUUUGAUGUUUGAAUUAAUGCUAAAACUAAAUAUGUUGACCCGUGUACUCUGAUCCCCGCUACUAUUGUUGUUUUGACGGUGGAAGUACAUUUAAUAUUUUAUAUUAAGCAUGCAUCUAAUGUCACGAAUGCAUAGGGAGUGUAAUGGUGCUCCGCCCUCAAAUUAUUUUAAAAUCUUAGAUUCGUUACC